ACGUGACAAUACUGAACGUGAACACGGAGAACGAGGAUCAGGACGGUGUUGACAUAAAAAAUGUGGUGUACCGAGCGGAUGUUGGCGAUUGAACGAUCUUACCUAAACUGAUACGAAUCAUGACAUAUUGGAGAAACGCACCUUUCAGGCUCUGCGUUCGUUUGUAACAGUUUCGCUGACAGAAGAGUUUUAGUGGGUUCGAGCCCCACACUCCCCUGGAUCUUCUUUUUCAGGACGUGCGAGCUUGGGCAUUACUCUUCCUAACAAAUACGAGACUAAACGAGAUCCAUUAACGGAACACUACCAGCAUCCCAACAU